rnacentral:rRNA from 1 species
CCUACGGGAGGCAGCAGUGAGGAAUAUUGGGCAAUGGGCGCUAGCCUGAACCAGCGAAGUAGCGUGAAGGAUGACUGCCCUAUGGGUUGUAAACUUCUUCUAUAUGGGAAUAAAGUGCAGUAUGUAUACUGCUUUGCAUGUACCGUAUGAAUAAGGAUAGCAUAACUCAGUUCCAGCACCCGCGGUAAUACGGUGGAUCCGAGCGUUAUCCGGAUUGAUAGGGUUUAAAGGGAGCGUAGGCGGGUUGUUAAGUCAGUUGUGAAAGUUUGCGGCUCAACCGUAAAAUUGCAGUUGAUACUGGCAUCCUUGAGUACAGUAGAGGUAGGCGGAAUUCGUGGUGUAGGGGUGAAAUGCUUAGAUAUCACGAAGAACUCCGAUUGCGAAGGCAGCCUGCUGGACUGUAACUGACGCUGAGGCUCGAAAGUGUGGGUAUCAAACAGGAUUAGAUACCCCUGUAGUC